UACGAACUGUGCGAACGUUAUUCGGAAUCACUGGGCUUACAGGGUGCGUAGGCGGCUUGUCAAGUAGGGUGUGAAAGCCCCCGGCUCAACCGGGGAAUUGCGCCCUAAACUGGCGAGCUGGAGUGAGAUAGGGGUGUGUGGAACUUCCGGUGGAGCGGUGAAAUGUGUUGAUAUCGGAAGGAACGCCGGUGGCGAAGGCGGGUCUCUGGGCAGUAACUGACGCUGAGGAGCGAAAGCGUGGGGAGCAAACAGG
rnacentral:rRNA from 1 species